GAAGCCUAAAGACACAGAUCAGUGAGCACCGCAGCAACAUACGGACAGGUGAGACAACAAAAAAUCAGGUUGCUGCUCAUUUUGUACAAGCUGGACAUCCUAUUAGUUCUCGGAGAUACAUUGGAAUACAAAGGGUCAAGAUGUCACGCGGGGGAGGGGAUAUUGAGAGGAAACUUCUUUCUGGAUCCACAGACUGAACACGGUCUCCUCUUGGCCUUAACGAGGAGUUUGACUUGAAACCGUUUUUAAAUUAUCCUAAUUGAAUAUUGAAGUGAUGUCACUGAGUACUGCCCAUAUAAAUAGGACCUUCCAUCCUGGGAUAUGGAUGCCUGAUGAAGACCUAAGGGUUGAAAAGUUGUAAAUAAAUAUCACCUGGGAGCAUGA